rnacentral:rRNA from 1 species
GACUCACGGCAACGGAUAUCUCGGCUCUCGCAUCGAUGAAGAACGUAGCGAAGUGCGAUACUUGGUGUGAAUUGCAGAAUCCCGUGAACCAUCAAGUUUUUGAACGCAAGUUGCGCCCAAAGCUUUUCGCCGAGGGCAUGCCUGCCUGGGCGUCACUUGACU